rnacentral:rRNA from 1 species
AAUGCAAGUCGAACGAUGAAGUUCCUUCGGGAAUGGAUUAGUGGCGAACGGGUGAGGAACACGUGAGAAACCUGCCUUUCAUUCUGGGAUAACACCGGGAAACCGGUGCUAAUACCGGAUACUCCAUCUUGGCGGCAUCGCCGAGCUGGGAAAAAAUUUUGAUGAAAGAUGGUCUCGCGGCCUAUCAGCUAGUUGGUGAGGUAAAGGCUCACCAAGGCGACGACGGGUAGCCGGCCUGAGAGGGCGACCGGCCACACUGGGACUGAGACACGGCCCAGACUCCUACGGGAGGCAGCAGUAGGGAAUAUUGGGCAAUGGGCGAAAGCCUGACCCAGCGACGCCGCGUGAGGGAUGAAGGUCUUCGGAUUGUAAACCUCUUUCAGUAGGGAAGAAGCGAAAGUGACGGUACCUAAAGAAGAAGCACCGGCUAACUAUGUGCCAGCAGCCGCGGUAAUACAUAGGGUGCAAGCGUUGUCCGGAAUUAUUGGGCGUAAAGAGCUCGUAGGUCGUUUGUCGCGUCGAUUGUGAAAAUCUGAGGCUCAACCUCAGACCUGCAGUCGAUACGGGCAAACUAGAGUGUGGUAGGGGAGACUGGAAUUCCUGGUGUAGCGGUGGAAUGCGCAGAUAUCAG